GUAUGACAGAACUGUGGGGACACGUAAGGAAAGCGGAAGCCGGGAAUGGAAAGCCCGGUGCAAGCUGGGUACCAGUCACUCUGGCAAAUCCGGGUGGCAAUGGGAAGCCGUGAUGCGGAGCGAAAUAAAGUAGCGAAGUCCGUGAGCCAUGCGUCAAGAAAAGCCGCUAUCGUUUAUACCGUACCCGUACCGUAAACCGACACAGGUGGAUGAGGAGAGAAUCCUAAGGCCGGCGGAAGAAGCAUUGUCAAGGAACUCGGCAAAAUGGCCCCGUAACUUAGGGAUAAGGGGUGCCUGGGAAACCAGGCCGCAGAGAAUAGGCUCAAGCAACUGUUUAGCAAAAACACAGGUCUAUGCGAAACCGAAAGGUGAGGUAUAUGGGCUGACGCCUGCCCGGUGCUGGAAGGUUAAGAGGAGAGGUUAGCGCAAGCAAAGCUUUGAAUUUAAGCCCCAGUAAACGGCGGCCGUAACUAUAACGGUCCUAAGGUAGCGAAAUUCCUUGUCGGGUAAGUUCCGACCCGCACGAAAGGCGUAAUGAUUUGAGCGCUGUCUCGACAAUGCAUCCGGUGAAAUUGAAGUACCAGUGAAGAUGCUGGUUACCUGCGCCAGGACGGAAAGACCCCAUGGAGCUUUACUCCAGUUUGGUACUGGGACUCGGUAUUGCAUGUACAGGAUAGGUGGGAGGCUGAGAGACAGUAACGCCAGUUAUUGUGGAGCCGCUGUUGGGAUACCACCCUUGCAGUAUUGGGUUUCUAACCAGCCGCCGUGACCCGGCGGUGGGACAAUGCCAGACGGGGAGUUUGACUGGGGCGGUCGCCUCCGAAAGGGUAUCGGAGGCGCCCAAAGGUUCCCUCAGAAUGGACGGAAACCAUUCGAAGAGUGCAAAGGCAGAAGGGAGCUUGACUGCGACACCGACGGGUGGAGCAGGUACGAAAGUAGGGCUUAGUGAUCCGGUGGUAUUAAGUGGGAAUGCCAUCGCUCAACGGAUAAAAGCUACCCUGGGAUAACAGGCUUAUCACUCCCAAGAGUUCACAUCGACGGAGUGGUUUGGCACCUCGAUGUCGGCUCAUCGCAUCCUGGGGCUGUAGUAGGUCCCAAGGGUUGGGCUGUUCGCCCAUUAAAGCGGUACGCGAGCUGGGUUCAGAACGUCGUGAGACAGUUCGGUCCCUAUCCGGCGUGGGCGUAGGAUAUCUGAGAGGAGCUGUCCUUAGUACGAGAGGACCGGGAUGGACGGGCCGCUGGUGCAUCGGUUAGACUGCCAAGUCUACGGCCGAGUAGCCAAGCCCGGAAGGGAUAAACGCUGAAGGCAUCUAAGCGUGAAGCCCCCCUUAAGAUGAGAUAUCCCAUUCGAAAGAAGUAAACCCCCUUGAAGACGACGAGGUAGAUAGGGCAGAGGUGGAAGUGCAGUAAUGCAUGGAGCUGACUGUUACUAAUCGGGUGAGGGCUUGACCU
rnacentral:rRNA from 1 species